GCAUGUCAGGACAAGCUGGCGGUGGCAUCUGUUACUCUAUUGAUCGUUUCUUCUCGUCUUCUUCAAAGCUUUGGCCAGUUGAGUGGGUGUCUCCUUUCUCUUCACCUAUCUACAUGUGUUCCCCUAAGGCUACAUUCCAGCUGAAGACACAGGAGGUUUGAAAUUGAAGGAGUAGCAUUCUUCAAUGCCAGGACAUUAUAAGCAAACUUUCUAUCAUUACUGCUGGAAGAACCAAACAGAGGUCAGUUUAGUGAGGCUAGGAGGGACUUCUGUCCAGAAGGAAAAAAUAUCAGUUAGUAAAUGCACUAAAG
rnacentral:sRNA from 1 species